GCCAACCGACACGUGAAAAAAUGCUCCACAUCACUCAUCAUCAGGGAAAUACAAAAUCAAAACCACAAUGAGAUACCACCUCACACCGGUCAGGAUGGCUAACAUUAACAACUCAGGCAACAACAGAUGUUGGUGAGGAUGCGGAGAAAGAGAAAACUUUUGCACUACUGGUGAGUAUGCAAACUGGUGCAGCCACUCUGGAAAACAGUAUGGAGGUUCCUCAAAAAAUUAAAAAUAGAACUACCCUACGACCCAGCAAUUGCACUACUAGGUAUUUAUCCAAGGGAUACAGGUAUGCUGUUUCAAAGGGACACAUGCACCCCAAUG